AUUGAGCGCUGGCGGAAUGCUUUACACAUGCAAGUCGAACGGUAGAGGGGGCAACCCCUCGAGAGUGGCGAACGGGUGAGUAAUAUAUCGGAACGUGCCCAGUCGUGGGGGAUAACGUAGCGAAAGUUACGCUAAUACCGCAUACGAUCUAAGGAUGAAAGCGGGGGAUCGCAAGACCUCGCGCGAUUGGAGCGGCCGAUAUCAGAUUAGGUAGUUGGUGGGGUAAAGGCUCACCAAGCCAACGAUCUGUAGCUGGUCUGAGAGGACGACCAGCCACACUGGAACUGAGACACGGUCCAGACUCCUACGGGAGGCAGCAGUGGGGAAUUUUGGACAAUGGACGCAAGUCUGAUCCAGCCAUUCCGCGUGCAGGAUGAAGGCCCUCGGGUUGUAAACUGCUUUUGUACGGAACGGAAAGGUCUCUCUUAAUACGGGGGACUCAUGACGGUACCGUAAGAAUAAGCACCGGCUAACUACGUGCCAGCCGCCGCGGUAA
rnacentral:rRNA from 1 species